CUGGAAACGGUGGCUAAUACCGCAUAAUCUCUAAGGAGCAAAGUGGGGGACCAUUAGGCCUCACACCUUCGGAUGAACCCAUAUGAGAUUAGCUAGUAGGUGGGGUAAGGGCUCACCUAGGCGACGAUCUCUAGCUGGUCUGAGAGGAUGAUCAGCCACACUGGGACUGAGACACGGCCCAGACUCCUACGGGAGGCAGCAGUGGGGAAUAUUGCACAAUGGGCGCAAGCCUGAUGCAGCCAUGCCGCGUGUAUGAAAAAGGCCUUCGGGUUGUAAAGUACUUUCAGUCGUGAGGAAGGUGUUAAGGUUAAUAGCUUUAGCAAUUGACGUUAGCGACAGAAGAAGCACCGGCUAACUCCGUG
rnacentral:rRNA from 1 species